AUGAACGCUAGCUACAGGCUUAACACAUGCAAGUCGAGGGGCAGCAUGAUUGAAGCUUGCUUCAAUCGAUGGCGACCGGCGCACGGGUGAGUAACACGUAUCCAACCUGCCGAUAACUCGGGGAUAGCCUUUCGAAAGAAAGAUUAAUACCCGAUAGUAUAGUAUUUCCGCAUGGUUUCACUAUUAAAGAACUUCGGUUAUCGAUGGGGAUGCGUUCCAUUAGAUAGUUGGCGGGGUAACGGCCCACCAAGUCAACGAUGGAUAGGGGUUCUGAGAGGAAGGUCCCCCACAUUGGAACUGAGACACGGUCCAAACUCCUACGGGAGGCAGCAGUGAGGAAUAUUGGUCAAUGGACGAGAGUCUGAACCAGCCAAGUAGCGUGAAGGAUGACUGCCCUAUGGGUUGUAAACUUCUUUUAUACGGGAAUAAAGUGGAGUAUGCAUACUCCUUUGUAUGUACCGUAUGAAUAAGGAUCUGCUAACUCCGUG
rnacentral:rRNA from 1 species